UGACGUAUAGCCAAAUCAGGUAAGGCGAUAACUUUUGGUGUUAUAAAUUAGAGGUUCGAAUCCUUUUACGUCAG
rnacentral:tRNA from 1 species